rnacentral:rRNA from 1 species
AUUGAACGCUGGCGGCAUGCCUUACACAUGCAAGUCGAACGGCAGCGCGGACUUCGGUCUGGCGGCGAGUGGCGAACGGGUGAGUAAUACAUCGGAACGUACCCUGUUGUGGGGGAUAACUAGUCGAAAGAUUAGCUAAUACCGCAUACGACCUGAGGGUGAAAGUGGGGGACCGGAAACGGCCUCAUGCAGCAGGAGCGGCCGAUGUCUGAUUAGCUAGUUGGUGGGGUAAAGGCCCACCAAGGCGACGAUCAGUAGCUGGUCUGAGAGGACGAUCAGCCACACUGGGACUGAGACACGGCCCAGACUCCUACGGGAGGCAGCAGUGGGGAAUUUUGGACAAUGGGGGCAACCCUGAUCCAGCAAUGCCGCGUGUGUGAAGAAGGCCUUCGGGUUGUAAAGCACUUUUGUCCGGAAAGAAAUCGCGCUGGUUAAUACCUGGCGUGGAUGACGGUACCGGAAGAAUAGGCACCGGCUAACUACGUG